rnacentral:rRNA from 1 species
UACGGAGGGGGCUAGCGUUGUUCGGAAUUACUGGGCGUAAAGCGCGCGUAGGCGGCUUUGUAAGUUAGAGGUGAAAGCCCGGAGCUCAACUCCGGAAUUGCCUUUAAGACUGCAUCGCUAGAAUCAUGGAGAGGUUAGUGGAAUUCCGAGUGUAGAGGUGAAAUUCGUAGAUAUUCGCAAGAACACCAGUGGCGAAGGCGGCUCACUGGCCCGAUACUGACGCUGAGGCACGAAAGCGUGGGAGCAAACAGGG